rnacentral:lncRNA from 12 species
CAAUUUCCAAACGCUUUGCCUGCCUCUGUGAGUCUAGCAGGUGCAUGUGUGUGUCCUCCUAACCCACUCACGGAAGUGGAUGGACACUUCUGAUGCUUUUACUCACAGUUCAGAGCUCUGACCCAGAUUUAUGGCAUGGAUCAUUGCAAUAAAAAAGACUCCCAGAUGCAGACAAAGCACGGUGUGGGGAAUUUGCUCAUAGGCGCCUGGGAAUCUGGCCAACUUCUUUCCAUCCCCUGUCGGAGGUGCAACAGUCCUCUACCGCCAUCAGCCAGAAAUUCAUAAGGAAGAUAUUCAAGGAGACUUCCUUUCAUCAGUGUGAUGCCUCAUUACGGAGGAAUGUUCCUGAAUGGUGCAGUGGGGUGAACAAUUUGCACAGCAUUCACUCCCAUGAGUGGAAAACACGCGGGUAGAAUUGGAAUUAUGUGAGAAGGACUGUAUUUUCCUCAAGCAACUGGAGGAAGAAAUGUUCCCAAGUCCAAAUGCCAGGUCUAGAAUUAACCUUUAACCCUGAGCUAAGCAAAGGUGCUGUCAGCUGCUCCAGCAACCUGCCUUGCGACAGAGGGACACCUGCUGUGGUGGAAGGCUUCUUCCCAGUGGGCCUCAAGGAUACCAGGAGCCAGACAGAGCUACAGGUGGCAGAGGAG